GGACCUGGCGGCAUGCUACUACAUGCUUAUCGAACGAGAUCCUUCGGAUCUAGUGGCGCACGGGUGCGUAACGCGUGGGAAUCUGCCCUUGGGUUCGGAAUAACUUCUGGAAACGGAAGCUAAUACCGGAUGAUGACGUAAGUCCAAAGAUUUAUCGCCCAAGGAUGAGCCCGCGUAGGAUUAGGUAGUUGGUGAGGUAAAGCCUCACCAAGCCGACGAUCCUUAGCUGGUCUGAGAGGAUGAUCAGCCACACUGGGACUGAGACACGGCCCAGACUCCUACGGGAGGCAGCAGUAGGGAAUAUUGGACAAUGGGCGAAAGCCUGAUCCAGCAAUGCCGCGUGAGUGAUGAAGGCCUUAGGGUUGUAAAGCUCUUUUACCCGGGAUGAUAAUGACAGUACCGGGAGAAUAAGCUCCGGCUAACUCCGUGCCAGCAGCCGCGGUAAUACGGAGGGAGCUAGCGUUGUUCGGAAUUACUGGGCGUAAAGCGCACGUAGGCGGAUAUUCAAGUCAGAGGUGAGAGCCCGGGGCUCAACCCCGGAACUGCUUUGAAACUAGAUAGCUUGAAUCCAGGAGAGGUGUCUGGAAUUCCGAGUGUAGAGGU
rnacentral:rRNA from 1 species